AGUCAUAUGCUUGUCUCAAAGAUUAAGCCAUGCAUGUCUAAGUAUAAGCAAUUAUACAGCGAAACUGCGAAUGGCUCAUUAUAUAAGUUAUCGUUUAUUUGAUAGUACCUUACUACUUGGAUAACCGUGGUAAUUCUAGAGCUAAUACAUGCUAAAAAUCCCGACUUCGGAAGGGAUGUAUUUAUUAGAUUAAAAACCAAUGCCCUUCGGGGCUCUCUGGUGAUUCAUGAUAACUUCUCGAAUCGCAUGGCCUUGUGCCGGCGAUGGUUCAUUCAAAUUUCUGCCCUAUCAACUUUCGAUGGUAGGAUAGUGGCCUACCAUGGUUCAACGGGUACGGGAU
rnacentral:rRNA from 1 species